rnacentral:rRNA from 1 species
ACGCUAAUACCGCAUAUCUCCUCGAGGGAGAAAGCAGUGAUGCGCCCACGGAGCAGCCUGCGUACGAUUAGCUUGUUGGUGGGGUAAAAGGGCUUACCAAGGCGACGAUCGUUAGCUGGUCUGAGAGGAUGAUCAGCCACACUGGAACUGAGACACGGCCCAGACUCCUACGGGAGGCAGCAGUGGGGAAUUUUCCGCAAUGGGCGAAAGCCUGACGGAGCAAUACCGCGUGAGGGAAGAAUGCCUAUGGGUUGUAAACCUCUUUUUUCAGGGAGGAAUCAAAUGACGUGUACCUGAAGAAUAAGCAUCGGCUAACUCCGUG